UAGAUACCCUGGUAGUCCACACAGUAAACGAUGUAUACUCGCGGUUUGCGAUAGAUUGUAAGCCGCCAAGCGAAAGCAUUAAGUAUACCACCUGGGGAGUACGCCGGCAACGGUGAAACUCAAAGGAAUUGACGGGGGCCCGCACAAGCGGAGGAACAUGUGGUUUAAUUCGAUGAUACGCGAGGAACCUUACCCGGGCUUGAACUAACGGUGACGAAUCUAGAGAUAGAUUUUUCUUCGGACACCGUUG
rnacentral:rRNA from 1 species